rnacentral:rRNA from 1 species
AACGAACGCUGGCGGCAUGCCUAACACAUGCAAGUCGAACGAGACCUUCGGGUCUAGUGGCGCACGGGUGCGUAACGCGUGGGAACCUGCCCUUAGGUUCGGAAUAACUCCCCGAAAGGGGUGCUAAUACCGGAUAAUGUCUUCGGACCAAAGAUUUAUCGCCUUUGGAUGGGCCCGCGUUGGAUUAGCUAGUUGGUAGGGUAAAAGCCUACCAAGGCGACGAUCCAUAGCUGGUCUGAGAGGAUGAUCAGCCACACUGGGACUGAGACACGGCCCAGACAGGGGGGAGGGGGGGGAGUGGGGAAUAGGGGAGAGUGGGAGAAAGGACGAACGAGGAAGGCGGCGUGAGAGAGGAAGGCCGUGUGGUUGUAAAGGUCUUAUAGCGGGGAGGAGAAGGACAGUAGGGGGAGAAUACGCCCCGGCUAACCCCGUGACAGCGGCCGCGGUAAGAAGGGAAAGAGAACUCGUGGGAA